CUUCUUCGUAUUCUCCUUCUUCUUCCUCUUCGUCGUCUUCAUCAUCGUCUCCCAAUGGAUCCGAAGGUCGAGAAGCGAAAUGGCGAUUUCGAGGAGGAUCCAUGGAUUGAUGUUGAUAAAGUGGGAGGAUGGAGUUGGAGUGAGGGUUUUUGAGGAGGAUCGAUGGAUUGAUGUUGAUAAAGUGGGAGGAUGGAGUUGGAGUGAGGGUUUUUGAGGGUUGAGAGGUGAAGAGAUCGAAGAGUUAGGGUUUGAGAUUUGAUGAGAGAAGGAGGAG